UACGUAGGGUCCGAGCGUUGUCCGGAAUUACUGGGCGUAAAGAGCUCGUAGGCGGUGUGUCGCGUCGGCCGUGAAAACCUGCAGCUUAACUGUGGGCGUGCGGUCGAUACGGGCAUCACUGGAGUUCGGCAGGGGAGACUGGAAUUCCUGGUGUAGCGGUGAAAUGCGCAGAUAUCAGGAGGAACACCGGUGGCGAAGGCGGGUCUCUGGGCAACAACUGACGCUGAGGAGCGAAAGCGUGGGGAGCGAACAGG
rnacentral:rRNA from 1 species